CGGAGGAUCCAAGCGUUAUCCGGAUUUAUUGGGUUUAAAGGGUGCGUAGGUGGCUUUGUAAGUCAGUGGUGAAAGUUUUCAGCUUAACUGGAAAAUUGCCAUUGAUACUGCAGGGCUUGAGUUCAGAUGAGGUAGGCGGAAUGUGUCAUGUAGCGGUGAAAUGCAUAGAUAUGACACAGAACACCGAUUGCGAAGGCAGCUUACUAAACUGAAACUGACACUGAGGCACGAAAGCGUGGGGAUCAAACAGGAUUAGAUACCCUGGUAGUCCACGCCCUAAACGAUGAUCACUCGAUGUGUGCGACAUACAGUACGCGUCCAAGCGAAAGCGUUAAGUGAUCCACCUGGGGAGUACGCCGGCAACGGUG
rnacentral:rRNA from 1 species